rnacentral:rRNA from 1 species
UACGUAGGGGGCAAGCGUUGUCCGGAUUUAUUGGGCGUAAAGAGCGUGUAGGCGGCCAAGCAGGUCCGCUGUGAAAACUCGAGGCUCAACCUCGAGACGUCGGUGGAAACCGUUUGGCUAGAGUCCGGAAGAGGAGAGUGGAAUUCCCGGUGUAGCGGUGAAAUGCGCAGAUAUCAGGAGGAACACCGGUGGCGAAGGCGGGUCUCUGGGCCAUUACUGACGCUGAGGAGCGAAAGCGUGGGGAGCGAACAGG